CUCCGGCACCGGCCCGGCCGCGCCGCGGGCCCCGCUCCUCCUCCUCCCCCCGGAGCGCAUUCCUCAGCUCCGCGCCUCGCUCCCUCCCCCCCCCCCCCACCCCCCCAGCUCCGGAGGACGGGAGAAAAGGGAAAAUAAAAUAAUAACGAUCAUAAAAACGCAGCGGAGGGAGCGCUAAGAGCCGGGACCCGCGGCGCAGGCAGCGGCCGGGGCGGGGAGAGCCCGCACUUCCCCUUUGUUUGGGGCGCACCGGGAGAGCGGAGCAGAGCAGGCCCGGCGCUGCCCCCGCCGCCGCGAGGGGCCCGGCUCGGGGAGGGACGGGCCGGGCGGGGCGCGUACCUUCGUCCAGCAGCCGCUCGAGGUGGUUGAAGAUCCCGCAGAAGUUGGGGAGGCUGCUCAUCAGCUUCUUGUCGUUCAUCAGCUGCAUCAGAUACUGACCUGCAAGUCAGCCCUACACUCAGCUUCGUGCCAGGAAGAAAGGCCCCCAAGCAGGGCGGCACAUGAGCGGCUGGUGCAGCCUGACCAUCUGCAGUGGAACUGAGCUGCUGUGUCUCCGUUUGCGAGUGUGACAGCUGCCUGCCUUCACGGGGAACCCGCAGACACCAUGGCAUUGCUCUGGAACGUUUUGAAGACACUGUUGCAAGUCAACUGUGACAGCUCUGAAGGAUGAGUUCCCAAAAUACUGGUGACUUUCAGCUUCUACCAUUGCCUAAGGAAUCUGCAAGGUGAAGUCUUGAUGGCCUUGUGGUAGGAGCCUGAAGAGACAGAGCGACCUUCCUCUGACUUUCCACCAUGCUCUUCCUACGCAGUAGACACAUUGGCAUAUUUCUCCAUUAACGCAAUGGGAGCUGCAGCCCAGACGUGUCUGGAAAGGGAGACAUGUGGCUCUCGUAACCUCACUGGGAGAAGCCUUCCUGUUUAGCUUCAGCACUCAGUUGUGUCACACACCUACUUGGCCAGAAUUACAUGCAUUUGCUGAGACGUGGGUUGUGAAUGCAUCAACUAAGUCCCUUUAAGAUGAUCGCAGGGGAUGUGUUGUCCUCUCUGGCUGACAUCCAUUACAGGUCAUUAUUUGGAUUUUACGCUAGUAAUUCUGAGUGCUUCCAUUUUUGGUUCAUCUCUGAUGUGACUGCAAUUGAGUUUUCCGCAUGCAUUCAUCCUGAAUUUAUUUUAACUCUGCUCAGUGUUUGGAAGGUAAGUGAGGAUGCUAUUAGCUACCAGUCUGCAUCUAUGAAUGAUCACUUAUUACUUUCUCAAUGGUUUGGUUCAGAUGUGUGAGAGAAUACGUUAGCCUGUAAUGAGACUAUCAUGGGCUGAGUUGUUGGAGGGAGCCUGUUGUCACAUGGUUACUUUCAUCUGGAGGGAAAAAGAAACAAUCAAUCAGAAUAAUUCAUAGUUUUAAAAUGCUGAUUUUUUCUGAGCAUGUAUCAGAUGUUUUAACAACAUUAAACUAUUGUAAACCAAAACAUGAUUAAAUAUUUAAGCAGUAUUCUCUUUCUCAUGCAGGG
rnacentral:lncRNA from 1 species